rnacentral:lncRNA from 1 species
AUGAAAUCCAGUGGUGCUGCUCUGUUCACAAGGAACAAUCCCUUUCCGCCAGACCCACCUCUGGGAAAAACACAUUUACAACCCCUCACGCACCAAGAAGCUUCCAAAGCAACAGAGGAAAACCACCCUGAACGAUGUUGGCCUUGCCCAGCUGUCCAGCCCUCCUCCUCUCCAGACACACUCACUGUGCCCAUCGGACCCGUGCUUCCUUGGGGCAGCCAACCACUUUGUCCUCUGUCCUCCUCCUGCCACUAGGCCCAGUCUAGUUUUUAAGAGUCCUGGCCCUCCACUGAUCUUGUGUCCUCCCCGGCCAACACUGCCACCUCCCCGAACACAGACACACUGACAUAGGACCCAACAUCGGGAAAGUCCCUGGUUUCCACUGGGGGAGGAGAGAAGGAAGAUUCAGUGUUGGCAAAGUAUGCUUAAUACUAUUUCUAGAAUUACAUAAUGGUAAUUUGUUUUAUUUGUGACGUGUCAUACAGC